GUGCAAAAUGCUUGUAAUGAAGCUGCAAACCACAUGAAAAAAGAGCGACAAGAUCAUCUAUGUAGCAGAGAGGGGCUCCUGCUUCAGGCGGAAAAGGAGGAGCAGACGGCAUCCUUUUGACUGUUGGUGAAAACAACAUUCUCGAUCAUCUGUUGAACUGUCCCUUGAACAAUGAGCAAGAUUUAUGCUCAGGGUCCUUGGACUGGUAGCCUGGAGUGAACAGGCUUCACAUGCAGUCCCAAUGACCACUGCUGAUUUAGAAAAUCUUACUGCAUAAACCUAAAGUGAGCAAGCAGAAAGAAUGGGCUCUUCUGUAGAAGAGGCACAGUUUAGAAGAACUUGAGGAACCAGUGACUUUGACUGCUAUAGAAUGAUUGUGUGGGAACUAUGGAUACCUAGUGUCAUUGGUGGC